rnacentral:lncRNA from 1 species
UCUUUUGUGGUAUUUUUGGAUCCUUACCAAGGCAGUGAUGGUAUAUGCCUUCUCUCUCAAAGUAUGUGGUAUUUGUAGUAUAAGGCAUAGUGACAUUGCCUUCUCUCUCAUCCUACUCUAAUAAGGCUUUUGAUAUCUGGAGCUCAUAGGUGGGAGAUAAAGUAUACAUACUUACAAGACAUUUAUUGCAUAGUCAAACCAUGGAUCCAGAGAAACAAGUCAAUAAGUCAAACCAAGAUGUGAAUGUGUGUAUGGUGAUGAUGGUGAUAACAAUGGUGAAAGUCUAAUUCUACUUGUGCUCUUUUGAGUGGAUACAUACCUUUCUUGCUCUUUUGAAACUUUUGAGGAGAAUGAGAUGCUCUACAUUUUCUUUUUCUUUCCUCUCAGGUGGGUAUCUUGUACCCCUAAUUCUACUGUCGGAUACUUGUCAAUUUUUACCUGUCGUCUCACAUUUUCUUUUCUUUCGAGGUUCCGGGCACUUGCCCCUUUUUAUUUCCUCGUAUCCUUUCUUUUUUUUCUAGUGCACUCAUCUCCUGAAAUAAUAUAGCAAGUGGUAGUAACCAAGAUAACUUGAGCAUUUAUUUCACAGGGAAAAACAGAAAUAGGAGAAUGUUUUUGGCUAUUCUCUCCCGGAUUAGGAGUAGAAUACUUUUGGGUGGCUGUGGAGAUGGAAAUGAGUAGAUAUAUGUUGAUGCGUACUUUUGGAGUAGAAGCAGCAUGUAUGAGUGAACGUGCAAGUGAAUCUUGAUUUAACCACCUGACAAACUCCUAAGGGUCUACACAGCUUGACCACACUCAAUGCUCAUAAGUAGUAAAAAGUAAAUGUGUGACUCAAAGUCUAGCAAUCAUGUAUAUAUGGCUGUGGUAGGAAUUUAAACUCUCAUCAUACAGGAACUCAUCAUGUGCUAUUUUAAAGAUUUGUUAAAGAUAAAAUUCUCCAGAUUUCUAGCAUCUCUAGAAACAGAUAAACAGCAGCUCAACCUUCCCAUAUCAUAUCUGUUAACAACUUAGACUUCAGAUCAAGUUCUCUUCCCACAAGUUCAGGUUUAGAGCAAGCUUUAAAUUAUAACAGUUAUGUCUAAACUUGAGAGAGAAUUCAAAUUUGAAAAUUUGGCAGAGCAACUAUUCAUCAUAUCCAUGCUAGAGUUUUAUUACUAAGAUUCAGUUUAGCAUAGCCACUUUAUUUAUUUAUUAAGCACACUAAGCAAAAGAUAUAUAUAUAUAUAAGCACAAAAUCUUUAUUUGGUUUUACAUGGCUAUGUAUAUUUAUAUUUUAAUAUAGUAUAAGUAUAAAUGUAGAUAGAAAUACUUAGCGGGAUAAAUGGGGGUGCUCUCCCCCAAGCUGGAUUUUGACGUAAUUUCUUCUAAUGUAGCUAGCAGGUGGUGGAGGUGUAUUUCAAAGUCGGCAGCAUCCUGACAGCGAUUAGAAUGUCCUCCGUCUGCUAGUCUUCUUGAUUCUUGAAUUCUGUGGAGCUCAAAUAGAAAACAAUGCUUUGUGGAACUGAUUAAGUGUUAGCAUUAAUAUCUAGCCUUUAUCAUGUUGAGCCUCCUCAAUAAGUGUUACUCUAUAUUUUUUAUAUUUUCUUUUUAUCGAGCAGAAAAAAUUAUUUAUUUUAUUUUUAUGCCACCACAGUGAAUGUACUUAUGGGUUUUAUGCCACUUGUAUACUAACAUAGGGCUUACUGGUUUUAACAUUUUUAUUUUUCUUUUUGGGAUAGUAUGAACAUGAUUAACUAAGAAAACUAUUUUAAAUAAUUGAAAGGAAAAGGAUAACUACCAAGUUUACCUCUUGGCAAGGCGUUCGGUGUUUUUAAGUCCUCCGAACGGGACUCUCCGUUUUCUCAGUCGUCCUAGGAUUCACUCGAUGGCGUAGUCGGUGGUUCAGGCGGCGCCUCCUCUUCGUGUAUAACUAUCUUCUCUCUCCACACCUGACUCAGUGCUACGGUCUCCUCAGGAUAAUUCUGUUCAAGAUGUAUGACUUCAGACCUUACCAUUUCUUCUUCGUAGUAUGCCCAUCCGUCCUUGAUGAUUUCCUCCUCUGGUCGCGGUUGCGUCGUCUUCUUCUUGUUCUGACCUGCCUAGAGUCUUCAACUAUAUAGUUAGGAUGAGUAAAAUAGCGGUGUAUCUUCUCAGAGGGGAAGUGCAUGUGGACUUCUCUGGUUCCAAUGUAGAUGAUUGCUUUAACGGUGCUGAGGAACGGUCUCCCAAGGAUGAUGGGUGGAUCGUACUCGUCUUCUCCCAUAUCAAUAACCUGAAAGUCUGUAUGGACAAAAUGAUCGUCUAUUUUGACAGGGACAUACUAUACAUUCAACCUUUCGGAAUGUCUGAUCUGCCAUCUGGAGCUGAAUGUAUGUCGGUUUUAGGGGCCUGGUUCGGAACAAGAGUGUUGACGGUCCUUAAUGCUCACAUUUAAACAUCAACUAAUCAUGGAAAAGGACUUAUAUGCAGCCAACACCUAGACUUAGGGUUUUAUCUAACAGAAUUCCACGAGUUUUGGUGUUUGUCUAUUUCUACAGGGGGUUAUCAGGAAAUAUGAAAGAAAGGCCCACACGUUGGGUUUACAUAGAGAUAUUAACGUGCCGCGCAAUUUUCUACCAUCUAGAAGACUCCAGAAGCCACGGGAACGAAUGGGAGGCCGAUCGGGCCCGGGGGCAGGGCGCCCGCCCUCCCCCCUUGGGUGCCCGCCCAGCUACAGUAACCAAUUAGCUUCAAC